rnacentral:lncRNA from 1 species
GCUGUUUGGUAAGUGGAUUAAAAUAAAAAGAAAUGGGCUUAAGUGGAGAAGAGGGAACAGUAGCAGAUCUGGAAGAAAGGGGGCGGCGACACUGUAGCAAAUCUCACCUCGCCGGAGCUUUGACCGGCCGUUUGGGUGGUCAAACGACCUCCGUUUCGGCUCAGAUUUGGAGGGGGUGUUCUACUCGACGAGGGGAAUAAUCCUACGGUGGCCAAUCGUAUUGUUAGCGGCUAAAUUCUUAGAUCUGUGGUAGGGGACCCUAACCCUAAAACUUAAAUUUUUAUGUUUUUCCCUUGAAAAGAAAAAUUAUAGAUAUUGUCAUUUUGAGUUAAUUAGGAAUUAUAAGUGUUGUAUGAAUUUUUCUAGAAUAUUUGGGAUUUGUUUGGAAUUUUUGGAAUUUCGGGAAAUUGAUUUUGAUUGAUAAUUAAUUGUUUUGAAAUGUUAAAAAAUUAUUAGAUGGGUUGGAAAAUUCCAAAAUUUGGGUUAAAUUGCAAAUAUAAUGAUUUGUGAAUUUUUAGGCAUUGGUUAGAAUAUUUUCGAAAAUUUUAGGGUAAAUAGUUAGUUAAUUUUGGAUAUUAGAAAUUAUUAUAAUGGUUGAAAAAUUUUGUAAGUGUGGUAAAAUCUCAAGAUUUUGAUAUGCAUUGUUUUUUUGAAUAUUUAUUUGGGAUAUUAUCGAAAAUUGUAAUGUGUGAAAUUAUUUUAUUGGAUUAUUGGGAAAUGUUGAGAUUGUUGAAUUAUUGAGGAACAUUGGAAUUGUGGCAUUCAUUUGCAUCAUGGUUAUGUGAAAAUAAAUAAAUAAAUAAAUGAAUGAAAUAGAGAUGAGAAGUGGAAGCCCGUGUGGGGCGAAUUAAGAAGGGAGAGAGAUCCCUAGGGUGAAAGACCCAAAAGUUACCUCGGGAAGACUCCGAAUGGGGAGUGUAUUUGGGUGCGGACGCGUAUCCUUCGGUGAAAGCCCGAGAACAAUAGUGCAUUGUAUGACUGUGUGUCACACGUUCAUGUGCAUUCAUGUAAUUGUUGAAUAUUGUGAAAUUGUGUAUAAUAUCAUAUAUUAAACUAUGUGAUUGAUUGAUAUUGUUGAAUUGUUCCUUUUGUGUUGAAGUGUCAUUUCCGUAUUCUUUGAAACUUAGUAAUCCCCUUAACCCCUUGGGUGCUAGGCACCCUACUGAGCAAUGUGGAAAUGCUCACCCCUUCCUUGUUACACCUUUUUAGAUACAGUUAUUGAGGAUUUUGAAUUAUGUCUUGGUUUGGAAGGGCAUGGUCCAUGUUUGUACAGUAUAUCAGCUAGACCAAUGGUUAUCCAGAGAAUAGUGGAGGCCCAAGUUCAUGAUGAGUUUUUAGAAAAGGUUAAAGCCCAGUUGGUAGCAGGUGAAAUAGAUGAAAAUUGGUCUAUGUAUGAAGAUGGGAGUGUGAGGUUCAAAGGGAGAUUGUGUGUGCCAAAAGAUAUGGAGUUGAGAAAUGAACUUCUAGCAGAUGCUCAUAGGGCGAAGUAUACCAUCCACUCUGGGAAUACCAAGAUGUAUCAAGACUUAAAGAGACAGUUUUGGUGGAGUGGGAUGAAGAGAGAUAUUGCUCAGUUUGUAGCUAAUUGUCAGAUUUGUCAGCAAGUGAAGGCUGAACACCAGAGGCCUGCAGGGUUGUUGCAACCUUUACUUAUACAUGAGUGGAAGUGGGAUAAUAUCACUAUGGACUUUGUGAUAGGGUUGCCAAGAACUAGAAGCAAGAAAAAUGGAGUUUGGGUGAUUGUGGACCGUCUUACUAAGUCAGCUCAUUUUCUAGCCAUGAAAACUACUGAUUCCAUGAACUCUUUGGCUAAGUUGUAUAUACAGGAGAUUGUGAGAUUGCAUGGGAUACCUGUGUCUAUAGUGUCUGACAGGGACCCUAAGUUUACUUCUCAGUUUUGGCAGAGUUUACAAAGGGCUUUGGGCACCCAACUGAAUUUUAGCACCGCUUUUCACCCUCAGACAGAUGGUCAAUCAGAGAGAGUGAUCCAGAUCUUAGAAGACAUGUUAAGGGCUUGUGUUUUGGAUUUUGGAGGAAAUUGGGCAGAUUACUUACCUUUGGCAGAGUUUGCUUAUAACAACAGUUACCAAUCUAGUAUUGGCAUGGAACCUUAUGAAGCACUCUAUGGGAGACCUUGUAGAUCGCCCUUAUGUUGGAUAGAGAUGGGUGAGAGUCAUUUGUUGGGACCUGAGAUUGUCCAAGAGACUACAGAGAAGAUACAACUCAUCAAGGAAAAACUUAAGACUGCCCAAGAUAGACAGAAAAGUUAUGCAGACAAAAGGAGAAGGCCCUUGGAGUUUGAGGAAGGGGAUUGGGUGUUUGUAAAAGUGUCCCCUCGAAGAGGCAUAUUUCGAUUUGGGAAGAAGGGGAAGUUAACCCCUAGGUUUGUGGGACCAUUUCAGAUUGAUAAGAGAGUUGGCCCAGUGGCAUACAAGUUAAUUUUGCCUCAACAGUUGUCCCUUGUGCAUGAUGUUUUCCAUGUGUCAAUGCUAAGGAAGUGUACUCCAGAUCCAACUUGGGUAGUGGACAUGCAAGAUGUUCAGAUUAGUGAAGAUACAUCUUAUGUGGAGGAACCUUUACGAAUUCUGGAAGUUGGAGAGCAUAGGUUCAGGAACAAGGUGAUUCCUGCAGUCAAAGUGUGGUGGCAACACCAUGGGAUAGAAGAAGCCACUUGGGAACCUGAGGAAGAAAUGAGACGACACUAUCUGCAACUCUUCUACGAAUUUUAAGGUAAGCUAGUUUAAAUUUCGGGACGAAAUUUCUUUUAGGGGGGUAGGAUGUAAUGACCGGGUAUUUUAUGCCAUGUUAGCAAUUUUAGUUUGAAAAGUCUUAUUUUAUGUGGUGGUUGAAAAGUCAAAAAGAAAAGCGUUUGGAGAACACGUGUCAAUUUCGGAUUGGCGAAUUUCGUUUUAUUGUGUCGGUCAAUUAAACGAGUUGAAAAUUUUAUGCCAUGUCAGCCUUAGGGUGGAAAUUUCUUAGGAUUUGAGUAAUUGGGAAUUUCCGGGAAAGAAAAACGAAAACAAAAAUGAAAAGUUAAUUAAUUAAAAUUAAUUAGAAUUAAAAUAAUAAUAAAAAAAAUAAAUAAAUUAAAUUAAAUUGAGGAAUAAUAAAAUUGAGAAAAAAAUAUUAAAUUGUGUGUUUUAUAAAAAAAAAAGAAAAAGAAAUGAAAAUGGAGUAAUUUGGGCUUGGAUGAAAUAGGGUUUUAAAAGAAAAAUAGUAGUUAGUUAUUGGGUUUAUUUUGAACUUGGGUUGGGCUUGAGUGGGCUGAUUAAAAGGAAGAGAGAUGGGCUUGAGUGGGCUGAUUAAAAGGAAAAGAAGUGGGCUGUUUAAGAGGAAACGAAAUGGGCUUGAGUGGGCUGUUUGGUAAGUGGAUUAAAAUAAAAAGAAAUGGGCUUAAGUGGAGAAGAGGGAACAGUAGUAGAUCUGGAAGAAAGGGGGCGGCGGCAUUGUAGCAAAUCUCACCUCGCCGGAGCUUUGACCGGCCGUUUGGGUGGUCAAACGACCUCCGUUUCGGCUCAGAUUUGGAGGGGGUGUUCUACUCGACGAGGGGAAUAAUCCUACGGUGGCCAAUCGUAUUGUUAG